rnacentral:lncRNA from 1 species
AAACAACAACAUUAUUUUGAGGGACAAUAACAGCAAUGACAACAGAAAACAUUACUACUUAAAGUUAUUAGCAUGAGUCAACAUCCCCCUACAUACAUAAUUCCUUUAGCAGUCUGAUAUCUUCACGCAUUUCCUUCAACUCAUCUUCCAUCUUCAUUCGGCUGUUUGACUCCUCAGCAACUUCAUUCUUUAACUCUAGCAGCUCUUCUUCAAUAGCAUCAAAACAGCGAUGCCGACUGUGUAACUCAUCAUCCUGAAGGAUAUAAGAUAGUGAUCCUCAUGUCAAAACUCGAAUUUCUCACCUUGAUACAAAAUUCCUUAAGAAGUUACGAUUAUAAACUUCAUUUCUCAC